GACGAACGCUGGCGGCGUGCUUAACACAUGCCAGUCGAACGGAAAGGCCCUGCUUUUGUGGGGUGCUCGAGUGGCGAACGGGUGAGUAACACGUGAGUAACCUGCCCUUGACUUUGGGAUAACUUCAGGAAACUGGGGCUAAUACCGGAUAGGAGCUCCUGCCGCAUGGUGGGGGUUGGAAAGUUUCGGCGGUUGGGGAUGGACUCGCGGCUUAUCAGCUUGUUGGUGGGGUAGUGGCUUACCAAGGCUUUGACGGGUAGCCGGCCUGAGAGGGUGACCGGCCACAUUGGGACUGAGAUACGGCCCAGACUCCUACGGGAGGCAGCAGUGGGGAAUAUUGCACAAUGGGCGGAAGCCUGAUGCAGCAACGCCGCGUGCGGGAUGACGGCCUUCGGGUUGUAAACCGCUUUCGCCUGUGACGAAGCGUGAGUGACGGUAAUGGGUAAAGAAGCACCGGCUAACUACGUG
rnacentral:rRNA from 1 species